GGGGCUGUAGCUCAGCUGGGAGAGCACCUGCUUUGCAAGCAGGGGGUCAGCGGUUCGAUCCCGCUAGGCUCCA
rnacentral:tRNA from 1 species